AUUAUGAUGAAGCUUACCAGUUUUGGGUGCACAUCUGGCUUUGACACUUUCUAGUUAUGUGACCUUUGAUGGAAUGAUGAUGACGAUGAUGAUGAUGAUGAUGACGAUGAUGAGAUGACAAUCAUUAUGAUGAAAGAGAAGGACCAAAGGAAAGAAAACAGGAAUGAGAGUGUUCCUAGUAAUGGAAAAGGAGAAUCUCAGCAUUCCACCAAGAAAAUCUCCAAAAAAGGAAAAGCAAAUGAGCAGGGCUGUUUCUGAGGAUAUGAAAUACUUUACAAUUAAAUAAGGAAGAAGAGGAAACAUUCCAGACAGAAGCAAUCUCUUACUGCAAGAGAAUAAGAAGUAAUAAGAAUUUUCAUCAUUUGAAAUGCAGCCAUGUGGCAAUUUUAUCCAUCCAGAACAACUGACAUACAGUAAAUACUUAACAUGUAGCAGAUUCUGCUGUGUUUUUUGAUGUCUUGUUAUAUUAAAUCUCUUCAACCACACUAUGAGAUUCCAUUCCCUUACCUGUGAAGUGCGGAUGGGUGUGUGGUUGCUGAGGUGCUGUCCAGCUUGGACAUCUAGGAAUUGUAUGAGCACCUUUGAUUGCCUUGCAUGCAGAAACAACUCUGAACCCAGCAGUGUUACUUAGAUUUCACAGAAAAGGGAGGCAGAGAGGAAGAUGUUAGUCAAGACAAGACCAGAACAAAACAAGCGGCCCUAUGUCUAAGUGUUGCUGACCACACUCCAGAAGCCAGAAUUUCUGCAAACUGAUCUUCAGCCCCAGUUCCAUACCCACAGACAUGGACUCCAUAUCCUCAGCAAAGCACAACAGGGGAAUAAUAAUAGCUCUGUCACGUUUAAUCUUCAAAGCAAAACUUUCUCCAUUUAGAAAAUGAGAAAAUUUCAACUCAGGGAGUUUCAGAAACUUUCCCAGGGUAUCGCAAAUGAAAAACAGUAGAGCCAGCAUUUGAACUCAGGCUGCCGGACUCCUUUACUGUGUGUUCGAAUCCACGCAGUGCUGCAAGACUUGACUAAUUCACCCUGUACACCCAUAACUGUCAGACGUCAGAGUCCAUUAAGAAGCUGGGAAUCAAUUAAUUAACAAUUGAUUAGAACUGUUACAACGUAUUUAGGAUGCAUUUCUGUAUAGGGCUGAGCGUACAGAAAUUAGCCAGAUGUGGUACUUGGUUUCCAGGAACUAUUUACAGUAAAAAAGCAAACACUUAUGAAAUGCUUAUGAUGUUUUACAUGUAUUAAUUUUUUUAAAUAAUUGAACAACUCUGUGAGAGAGACAGUAUUAUGUCCCAAUUUUGGAAGAAGAGGAAACUAAGAGGUUAAUAACUUGCUCAAAGUCACAAAGCUGGUAAUCAAACCCAUGCUGGCUGGCUUCAGAGUCAUACUCUUCACUGCCACACUGUGCUGCCUACACUUCCUCAACUCAGUGCAAAUGGGCAAGUGUUCUGAGCCAUGUGACCAGGGACCUAUGCUGGCAAUCUUCAGGCAUUGCCCUGGGACUGUGUUGUGGAGAGAAGCCAUGGAACAGCUGUGAACACUGCUGGGCAGAAUAACAUGGAGAGGUAGAAAGCCUGGAAUAUAAAUAAUUCUGAGAAGGCAAGAAGGUCAGAGGAGGAAGCGGAGGAGGGUGAACUGGAAGGCAGGGGUAUCCAGGGAUGGUUAUUUUAGGGAGGAACACCUCUUCCUUUCCAAGACCACAGCCUUACCUCCAUUCUCCUCAUCUCCCCUCUACCCUAUGCUAACCCCACAUGGCUUCCUUUCCCCUUCAGCUCCACCCAUGUCAAGGUGACAUGCACAGGGCCCCACUGGAGAGUCCAGUUUAUUCUGCAUCUGCUCAAGAGAGAGCAUCCUUGGGACCUGAGGAUUAGUCAAGGGAAGGAAGGAAUUGGCCUACUCUAGGCAAAAGCUAACCCUGACUCCGCUCUGGGGUACACCCAAGCCUAAUCACACACCUUCUGGCUCUUACCUCAAUGUUCUUUCCUGAACGUUGAAAAGUCAGGGCAGAGAAUUAAGGGUUAUUUUUAAAAAUCACAUAAACAAUGCAAAAUCAGGAAAUAGAAAACAUUCAUCCCUAUCCUUCCUUUAGGGAUGCAGGAACCCAGGACUCUGGCAGCUCCAUGAUUGUCUGAAAGCAACACAGCCACGCUUCCAUCUAAAACACCUAAGCCCCUUCCCCAUCACAAGCUUCCUCUCCUGGGUCGUGUUUCUCAGAAAUUUACUCUUUUCUAGACAACAAUAAGACUAAAGGGACAAACCAAAUCAAUUAACUUUUGCUGGUGCCUUAGAGUAUUUAAAAGGGAAAAGUCUCCAGGAGAUAAAUGUAAGAAUCCAAUAACGGAGAAUUUAGAACCCAAUAAACAGACCUUUGCAUGUCCUUCAAUAACAUCAUACCAUUUUCUGCUCAUUCAUUUACAAUGACAGUUGGCCGAGGGGAAUCAUGAGGUGGCCUGCCUUCCCUCCUUCCUUCCUUCCUUCCUUCCUUCCUUCCUUUCCCUCCUUCUUCAUCUCCCUCAACUGUAUCUCUCUGAUUGUCCUUUCCUUCUGCUCAUCCCUCCUCCUUUCCCCUGAUCCCUCACAUAAAUACUUACUGAGUGCUAAUUUUAUGCAAGACUUUGGUAUAAUAACAUAAAAUUAACCACGUAAAUAUCCAGCCAGCGUGGGCAUUUUGUAUGGCAGACCAUGUCUAAUUGCGCAUGAAAGCUGCAACAUAUUGGUAGGAACCAUUUUACAACUUAAAAAUAUUAGUGGCCAGGCGCGGUGGCUCACACCUGUCAUCCCAACACUUUGGGAGGUUGUGGCAAGUGGAUCAACUGAGGUCAGGAGUUUGAGACCAGCCUGGCCAACAUGGUGAAACCCACCCCCCCACUCUACUAAAAAUGAAAAAAUUAGCCAGGCGUGGUGGCACAUGCCUGUAAUCCCAGCUACUCGGGAGGCUGAGGCAGGAGAAUGGCUUGAGCCUGGGAGGUGGAGGUUGCAGUGAGCUGAGAUCAUGCCAUUGCACUCCAGCCUGGGCAACACAGAAAGACUCUGUCCCCCCCACAAAAAAAAAGUAUGACUGUCCAUAACGGAUAAUCACAAAUCAUGUAUUUUCUUUCUCUCUUCAGUUAUAGACUAGAGUUGGUAUGAUUAAAAAAUAUAUACAGGCAUACCUCAGACAUAUUUAGGCUUUGAUUCCAGACCACUGUAAUAAAGUGAAUAAUGC